GGGGGCGACCCGCCGUCGGCGAGGCGCUCCCGGUAGCCAAUUAUUAAACUCUGCAUCUCUGCGUCGGAGUCUUAAAGAAAUUAAACAAAACUUUCAACAACGGAUCUCUUGGUUCUGGCAUCGAUGAAGAACGCAGCGAAAUGCGAUAAGUAAUGUGAAUUGCAGAAUUCAGUGAAUCAUCGAAUCUUUGAACGCACAUUGCGCCCCGUGGUAUUCCGCGGGGCAUGCCUGUUCGAGCGUCAUUUCACCACUCAAGCCUCGCUUGGUAUUGGGCGUCGCGACUUCGGUCGCGCGCCUUAAAGUCUCCGGCUGAGCAGUCUGUCUCCGAGCGUUGUGAUACAUAUUCGCUAGGGAUGACAGGUCUGUCGCGGCCGUUAAAUCUUUAUUACAGGUUGACCUCGGAUCAGGUAGGGAUACCCGCUGAACUUAAGCAUAUCAAUAA
rnacentral:rRNA from 1 species